rnacentral:misc_RNA from 1 species
GUAAUUUUAAUUCUAAUAGGUUUUAUCCUAUUUCAAAUAAAUUCAGACAUUUGUUUAGAUAAAUAGUUUAAUUUGGGGUCUUCUGGCGACGAGAAAUUAAUCAAAAUUCGCCGAAGCAACAAUUUAAGUUUUUUUGUAUAAACAAGGGUUGGGAUUUUAAAUCCAAACGAUUUCUCGAAUGGAAUUAAAUUCUCUUUUAAUGAUCCUUCCGCAGGUUCACCUACGGAAA